GCCGCUGUGGCGGAACAGGCAGACGCAAGGGACUUAAAAUCCCUCGGUGGAAACAUCGUACCGGUUCGAUUCCGGUCAGCGGCACCA
rnacentral:tRNA from 1 species